GUUGUCCUCUCUUAGGCAUAGCCCUCUUCGUCUGCCCCAGGCCCAGCAAGCCCAGCAGGUGAUGGGGGCGCCGCCCUGGUUGCGAGGAAGCCGCUGGAGGAAGAGCUCAACUUGGACAUUGUCAACCGGAGGAGGGGAUCGAUUCGAUCUGCAGAAGAGAGAUAGUAGAUGAGAGGGGGAGAGGGAAGGAAGGAGACAGAUUCUAUCUCCAAGAGAGAGAGAAGAUGAGAGGGAAAGACUGAUGGAAGGAGAGGAGGGAGAAAGAGAGAGGAAAGAGGAGAGGGAGGCGCGACAACGGACAUGACAGGGUCAACAGUCGUCGUUGGCCUGCCCCGGCGAGGUAGGGCGCGACCUGAAGGUUGGUGGUGGCUCGAUCCGCUUCUAGAUCAGGACCUACGAGGAGGGUGGGGCUCGGGCGCGAGGUACGGCAGGCUGCGCUCCACCUCUUCCUCGAGGUGCAUGUGCAGUGGGCAGACGGCAGCUCGCGCGGUGGUGCGGGGGCCUCAACGGGUGCGCAAUGGGGACUCCAUGCAUCUCCUACGCUCCGCAACCCUUUCCUUCCCGACACAGCAGAAACAAGGAUGCCGAGGCGGUUCAGAUCUUGAAUGCACGAUUGAUGAUUUUGUUUGACAGGAGGCUCACUGAUGGAGUAUGCCUAAUCUCAAUUUAUUGCAUGGUGUUGGGGGACUUUGGAUGGUGGUCUUGAUAUUCCGCACAGUGACAAGAGAUUUGCUGGCUUCAAGAAGAAUGAGAAGUGGCUGGACACUGAGAUUCACCGCAACUACAUUUAUGAAGAUCAUGUUGCAGACUGCAUGAAGUCAAUAGCUGAUGAAGAACCUGAGGAGUACCAAUUUCACUUUAGUGAGUACAUCAAGAAGGGGAUUGCGGCUGAUGACAUGGAAGCACUAUACAAGAAGGUUCAUGCUACCAUUCGUGUUGAUCCUACCAUGGCAAAAUAAACCAAGGAACCUCCGAAGACGCACAAGAGGUAUAAUCUCAGGAAGCGUUGAGACACAGCUUGCCUUGUAUGUGAUGUUGCAGCUUAAAAUUAAGAUGCUGUCAAUCCAAUAAGAGAAGCCAAGGAGCUAUUGGCGAUCGUGUGAUUUCAGAAUGUAUCCAAGAUUGCAGGGAAGUUAAUUAUACCAUCUCUGGAAGAUGGACUGUGGAAGAUAAACCGAUGGCUGCAAGACCGAGAGAAGCAUUAGGAACUGGUCCGCAGCGUCUUCCAGUUGUUGUCUGCAAGGCCGAAGGGUGUGAGCAAUUUCAUCGAGGCUGAUGCAAUCUUUGGACCAGUAGUGACGCUAGUGCCUGUAUAUCCCAUGACUGGUUCUUUCAGCUCAAUAUCCAUACACUACUUGUUUGUAUUCUGUAUUCCAGUGCAAAUUAUGAUUGUUGCUAAACACUCUUGCAUGUAACUGCACUACUAUCUGCUCUAAAAAAUGUCACUGCACUACCACAAUGCUAGCAUGCAUUCCUUUUCACAUCUAACACUUAUUGAAUUGUUCAUCUUCUUUCUCCUCUGUUUGUCACAAAGAUUCUUCUAUGACAACCUCUUUAAGGAGAUCAACUAAUCUUCUUGUCGCAGUUUUUGUUGAAACAUUGAUUAGGUGCUCCAAGAAUGUAUGUGAGCUUGCAAUUGUAUUUAACGGCAUCAAGGUACAAUGAUUCUCUUUGUUUGUAUUUUAUUCUGGAAUGUCACUGUCAUAAUAAAUAAAGUCCAGAAAAGCAUUGGUGUUUUUAUCUUAGCGUGUACUCCCUCCGUUCCUAAAUAUAAAUCUUUUUAGAGAUUUCAAUAAGAACUACAUACGGAUGUAUAUAGACAAGCAGACGCUUUUUUGUAGCUUAGUUUCAUACUAGCGGGUAGUGCGCGGCGGCACGCCGCGCCACAAGGAGUGAUAAGCUAUUUAGUUUUUAAUAUUUUGUAAGUCGUCUCAAAAUUUUAUUAAUGGCAAAAUAGUUCAUACAAGGCCCUGUUGAUUUGCAUGAGGUUUGUUGUUUUUGUGAAGUUUUUGAGAAUUUGUUGUAUGUUCAACAUGUGUAUAUCUUUGUAGUGGCGAAGAGAAUAAUUGUGCACUACACAGCUUAUGUUGCUCCCAUGGUGAUCACUGAAUUAACACAUGAGUUGGAAGUUAGCAAAACUUUAAGCACACUAACUUGUCAUAGAUGUUUCAGAAAACUAAAUCUGCACAUGAUGCUGAAUGGAAAAAAUUAUUGGAGUUGGUAGAAUUGCACCCGCUGUUAUCAUCCACACGACCUUGCAUAUUCCAGCCAACAUAGAAUAUAUUGUCAAUAUUAUGCAAAAAAACACAACUGAAUGAUUAACUGAGAAUAAAGUACACGUACAACAUAUUCUAUCCGAAUUGUAAAAUACUUCUAUUAGUAUCUAGAGAAUUUCUUGCAUUUAUCCAUCUUGUUAGUACUACGUAUUUUGGACAUUGGUGCUGUCAUGCCAAGACCUCCAUAAAUGUAACAACAUAUUGGUUGACAAAGGUGUAUCUUCAUAACACCAUACUCUGCCAGCCCAUAUCAGUAGUAGCAUUAUAAUCUCAGCCUUGAGAUUCUAUUUCUGAAGAUAUAGAAUGUCACAGCUACACAAAUAAUUUCAGCACCAAUUGUGUUUUACCUUCGGUUCUACUACUAUCUAGAAAAACAAAACAAAAACAAAGAGAAAAAAUAAAUUAGGAGUAGCAAGUCACCAACACCACCUGUCCACCAACCGACCCCCUUGUGCGCACCACCUGUCCACCCCCCUGCUGCGCACUGCCUCCUCUGCUUUCGCUGUUGCGUUGCCUCAUGCCUGGUUGUGCUAAGCUAAACAUCACACCGCGAAAGACCACCACCACCUUCCGCCGGCCGCCGGCCACCUCCGGCCUGCCUACGCGAGCUCCUCCCGACAGCGACAACCCCCUCACAUGGACGCGGGAACACUGCCGUGGAGGAGGAGGAGGAGAUGGAGUUCCUGUACGAUUGUGGCGCCACUGCCGUCGUCGCGGAUGUGGCAGCCGCGCUCGCGAGCACCGGCGGUAUCCAGGCGUCCUCUCCCUCUGUCGUCGCCUCCGAGAGAGGUACCGGAACGGCGAGCUGAAGAGGGCUCUUUCCGAGGCUGAAGCCUACGCCUUCAAGCUUUCUAGAAGAUGGCAUUAGGCAGUGUUCUUUCCGAUGGAGACAACUUCUGAUGCUACCUAGAUUGGCCGAUCUACUUUUUUUAUCAGCGACGCUACUAUCUAUUUCAUGAGGAUGCACUUGGCAGAUCUGUAAGAUCGCAAUGUUCAGCCUGGCUUCUAUCUUUGAUCUGGUAUGUAAUAGUUUUUUCGUUGGUAUAAAACUGCAAGUUAUCCGAAUUGUGCUGCUAAAACAAAGUUCUUGAUAUAAGUUACCUAUAAUCAUCCGGUGCGGCUUAUAUAAUAUUUUGAUAGUAUGACUCAUGGCACAGUGGAUCUAAUACUUCUGUUUGGAAAAGAAGCAAUAGAGAAAAUUAAUUUGCUAGAUUUGAAAAGCACAACCCGGUAUUUAGUGUUUGGUGAAUUGA